UAGAGUCAAGCAUAUCAGAUGAUGCAUAAAACUGUUAUUUUUAAGAAUACAAACUCUAGA
rnacentral:tRNA from 1 species